rnacentral:rRNA from 1 species
GAUGAACGCUGGCGGCGUGCCUAAUACAUGCAAGUCGAGCGAACAGACGAGGAGCUUGCUCCUUUGACGUUAGCGGCGGACGGGUGAGUAACACGUGGGUAACCUACCUAUAAGACUGGGAUAACUUCGGGAAACCGGAGCUAAUACCGGAUAAUAUUUCGAACCGCAUGGUUCGAUAGUGAAAGAUGGCUUUGCUAUCACUUAUAGAUGGACCUGCGCCGUAUUAGCUAGUUGGUAAGGUAACGGCUUACCAAGGCAACGAUACGUAGCCGACCUGAGAGGGUGAUCGCCCACACUGGAACGGAGACACGGUCCAGACUCCUACGGGAGGCAGCAGUAGGGAAUCUUCCGCAAUGGGCGAAAGCCUGACGGAGCAACGCCGCGUGAGUGAUGAAGGUCUUCGGAUCGUAAAACUCUGUUAUUAGGGAAGUACAAACGUGUAAGUAACUGUGCACGUCUUGACGGUACCUAAUCAGAAAGCCACGGCUAACUACGUG